rnacentral:rRNA from 1 species
AUUCCAGCUCCAAUAGCGUAUAUUAAAGUUGUUGCAGUUAAAAAGCUCGUAGUCGGAUUUUGGCAUCACGCCGAACUGUCUGCCGAUUGGUAAGUACGGUUUGGCGGGUGCUUCCUUCCGGAGGCUCGUUCCCUUCUUCAUUGAAGGGUUCGUUGGUUCCGGGUCUUUUACUUUGAGAAAAUUAGAGUGUUCAAAGCAGGCCUAUGCUCUGAAUAGGUUAGCAUGGAAUAAUAGAAUAGGACUUUGGUUCUAUUUUGUUGGUUUCUAGGACCGAAGUAAUGAUUAAUAGGGACAGUUGGGGACAUUUAUAUUCCAUGGCUAGAGGUGAAAUUCUUGGAUUCAUGGAAGAUAAACUACUGCGAAAGCAUUUGUCAAAGAUGUUUUCAUCG